rnacentral:tRNA from 1 species
GUUGUGGCUCAGUGGUAGCGUGCUUGCCUAGCAUGUGUGAGGCACUGGGUUCGAGCCUCAGCACACA